rnacentral:rRNA from 1 species
CGCGUAGGAACCUACCUAGUAGUUUGGGAUAGCCAUUGGAAACGAUGAUUAAUACCGGAUACGCCCCACGGGGAAAAGGACAGAGGAUCUUCGGACUUUGUCGCUAUUAGAUGGGCCGUGCGUGAGAUUAGCUAGUUGGUGAGGUAAUGGCUCACCAAGGCGACGAUCUCUAGCUGGUCUGAGAGGAUGAUCAGCCACACUGGGACUGAGACACGGCCCAGACUCCUACGGGAGGCAGCAGUGGGGAAUAUUGGACAAUGGGCGAAAGCCUGAUCCAGCAAUGCCGCGUGAGUGAUGAAC